rnacentral:rRNA from 1 species
AUUGAACGCUGGCGGCAUGCCUUACACAUGCAAGUCGAACGGUAACAGGUCUUCGGAUGCUGACGAGUGGCGAACGGGUGAGUAAUACAUCGGAACGUGCCUAGUAGUGGGAGAUAACUACUCGAAAGAGUGGCUAAUACCGCAUGAGAUCUACGGAUGAAAGCAGGGGAUCGCAAGACCUUGUGCUACUAGAGCGGCCGAUGGCAGAUUAGGUAGUUGGUGGGAUAAAAGCUUACCAAGCCGACGAUCUGUAGCUGGUCUGAGAGGACGAUCAGCCACACUGGGACUGAGACACGGCCCAGACUCCUACGGGAGGCAGCAGUGGGGAAUUUUGGACAAUGGGCGCAAGCCUGAUCCAGCAAUGCCGCGUGCAGGAUGAAGGCCUUCGGGUUGUAAACUGCUUUUGUACGGAACGAGAAGCCCUGGGUUAAUACCCUGGGGUCAUGACGGUACCGUAAGAAUAAGCACCGGCUAACUACGUGCCAGCCGCCGCAGUAACAC